UAAUGGAUGGAUUCAUAUAACCACUAUUCACUUUAUCCAGUGUGUAUCUAAUUGAUGUCAUGAGUAAGAGGCGUGACGAGCUAUUAAAGUUUCUUCUAUAGCGUUAAAUUUUGAUAAACGAAAAGGACUGUGUUAUUCUGUAUAACAAAUAAAUUAAAGCUGCGUUUAAAGUCUAUAUUUUCGCUGUGCAAUGGCUUUAUAAAUGAUACUAAGGACAGUGAUAAUAAUAGUUUAAGACAAAAGACAAACUUGCAAAAUGAAUCAAAGUUAUAUGUGCUUUGUGUUUUUGCAUCUAAUUUUCGUAUCAACAUGCGGUUGUGAGAAGCCUGAUGGCAAUGUCAUGGCAAUCGGGAUUAACAAUGGAAAGGAACCAAAAGGUGGUAUGGUCAUAGCGUCCCUCGUAGAUAUGUUUUGCCAAGCAGAGAGAGCAUCUAUAACUGCGGACAGUAAAGGAAAACCAGAAAAAAAAGCAAAACGUAUAUGCAUUCUAUAAAAGAUUGAUUGUUUUCUAUUCGUAAUCUUAUGUGCAUACAUUGUAUGAAUUUAUGAAGAGCAAACAUUCAUCAAUCAUUUUAAUACGUGAACUUUUUAUCCGACUGAUCACUUUAAAUAAUAUUAUAUCAGUGUUUCACCUGCACAUGA